GAAAUAGCAUCGUGGAAGAGACAUAAAAAAGAAAAACACAAGAAGCCGACUUACAGAAGAGAAGUUAUGAGCUCCACAUGGCUCUCCUCUAUAUUUGCAGGACAGGAGCAUGUCAUCCAGUUGGUGGCUCAGUCUGUCCAUAAACUCCAGGCAGCUUGUCCCCCCAUUGCUCUUCUUCUCCUCCUCCUGCGCCACAGCUCUGUCCACGCAGCCG